rnacentral:rRNA from 1 species
GACGGAGGAUGCAAGCGUUGUCCGGAAUCAUUGGGCGUAAAGCGCGCGUAGGCGGCCCGGUAAGUCCGCUGUGAAAGUCGGGGGCUCAACCCUCGGAUGCCGGUGGAUACUGUCGGGCUUGAGUACGGAAGAGGCGAGUGGAAUUCCUGGUGUAGCGGUGAAAUGCGCAGAUAUCAAGGAGGAACACCAAUUGCGAAGGCAGCUCGCUGGGACGUUACUGACGCUGAGACGCGAAAGCGUGGGGAGCAAACAGG